rnacentral:rRNA from 1 species
AGAGUUUGAUCCUGGCUCAGAUUGAACGCUGGCGGCAUGCCUUACACAUGCAAGUCGAACGGUAACAGCUCUUCGGAGGCUGACGAGUGGCGAACGGGUGAGUAAUACAUCGGAACGUGCCCGAUCGUGGGGGAUAACGGAGCGAAAGCUUUGCUAAUACCGCAUACGAUCUACGGAUGAAAGCAGGGGACCCUCGGGCCUUGCGCGAACGGAGCGGCCGAUGGCAGAUUAGGUAGUUGGUGGGAUAAAAGCUUACCAAGCCGACGAUCUGUAGCUGGUCUGAGAGGACGACCAGCCACACUGGGACUGAGACACGGCCCAGACUCCUACGGGAGGCAGCAGUGGGGAAUUUUGGACAAUGGGCGAAAGCCUGAUCCAGCAAUGCCGCGUGCAGGAUGAAGGCCUUCGGGUUGUAAACUGCUUUUGUACGGAACGAAAAGUCUCGGGAUAAUACCCUGGGACCAUGACGGUACCGUAAGAAUAAGCACCGGCUAACUACGUGCCAGCAGCCGCGGUAAUACGKAGGGUGCAAGCGUURWUCGGAAUUAYUGGGCGUAAAGCGCGUGUAGGCGGUUUGUUAAGUCUGRUGUGAAAGCCCUGGGCUCAACCYRGGAAGUGCAUUGGAWACUGGCARACUUGARUACGGGAGAGGRUAGUGGAAUUYCKAGUGUAGGRGUGAAAUCCGUAGAUAUUMGRAGGAACACCGGUGGCGAAGGCGGCUAYCUGGACCGAUAYUGACGCUGAGACGCGAAAGCGUGGGKAGCAAACAGGAUUAGAUACCCUGGUAGUCC